CCCAGUUUCCCGUGGAAUGUAUACAUUCAGGAACCUUUAUAGUGAAAAGUCGUUCAGACCUGAUAUUUCUCACACGACAAAUAGUGGAUAAUUCACCUGUAUAUAUUUAAUUUAUAUUUGGAUUUAUUCAUUUAUCUAGAUCUUAUGUUCAUAUGCGAUUAAUUUAUGGAAUAGUGAUAUCAGAUAGACAUCAGACGGGGAGUAUUCUGUUACACCUUUCCUCAAUUUGUGUAUUUCCUUCGAUUAUAUUCUUAAUCUGUUUAUGUGUUCCAGUCUAGGAGGAUUAUUCAUCUUUAACCUUAUAAGAACAUUAAAACAUCGUAUCAUCGCUACCUUUCCCCUGCUCACACAAAUCUCAAACUGAACAUUGCAAGGUCAUACCAGUUCUGGAGAACUUUUCAAAGGACAAACGUCAUCUAGGACACA
rnacentral:lncRNA from 1 species